GGGAGAUUGCCAAGGGUUGUAUGCUUCUCUGCCAAGGAUUAAGAGAGUAUUCAAAAGCGAAGACAAAAACAGAGUUCGGGUUCGUGUUUGAGAGUUAGAACUUGAAAUAUAAGCCGUGAAAAACAGGGAAGAAUACCUGCUACUACUCCCGUUGUUUAAUGGCUAUGAUUGAGGAUUAAAUGAAGUUUUAGAAGAUCAAGGAAACAAGGAGAGAUGCGUUCGUCUCAGAAUUCAAAUGCUCACAUGAAUUUAAGUUGAAGCCAUGUUAAUCCAGGGAAGAAGAAACUUGUGCUGCCAUUGAAAUGAUGAACGGGGAGAUUUAAAGAGAAGUUUGAGUUCUGAAUGAUUUAAGAGAAUGAGUUUUGUGUGUAUGCUACAGGGAAGGAAAUAUGGUAGAGCUUGGAAAUCAACAGCGUGUUCAUCUUGUUCACUACCGGUUCUGCACACAAUAUGUUUGAGAAAAUGCCGGAAUCACCAGUUCUUCAGAGUGUCAAAAACCAGACUAUCCUGUUGCUUCACUAUCUGUUGUCACGAAGUUCCAUGAGUCUGUGGGUUAGUGUGCGUACAAGGGCUGGCUGGCGAAGGCUAAAAUUGAUUUAGAGGCCAAGAAACCAGCUGAAGUAUUGAGUUGUUGCCAUGGGUCAGGGACCAUGUUUGGAGAAGUUAGGACCCGAGUUAGAAACCGGAAACAACACGGAGUCUGGGCACAAUGCUAAAUUGACUUGGAUUUGUCGAUAAGUCGGGGAAGUAAGAUUGAAUUGUUGUCGUAGAUUGAGACUUGUUAAGAAGCCGAGAAUUAGGAAAUUGGAUUGGGGUAGGUUACAAGUUUCGUAGUAGGAAUCAUUGUUAUAAAAAAUUACGAGGUUUGUCUCCAUGAUAGCCAGUGCUAUCCGACGGACGAGGUUUAAAGGGGACCAUCAUCCGAUGGUCGGGAGCCUCCGAAUGGAGUUUUUCAAUGGACGGCUGGCUAGGAAAUUUGCGGUUUUAACAAUUCGUGAAAUAUGUCGAGUACUUUAAAUACCUUUUGACGUUCUAACAAAUAUUCAGAAUAAUUAAUUUUUCCAGAGAUAGCGUGAUCACCGAUUUGUACUUAAUCCUUUAGAUACCCAUAUUUCUUUGUUUUCAGCGAUUUAGCAGGUAUGCCAUCAAAUCAUGAUUAAAGGUUCAAGAGCUCAAACGAAACUUCGAGUCAGAGAAAGAGAGGUGAAAAGCCCGAUGAGAGUAAUGGACAUCAUCAACAAAAGGGUCAAAGUAGAAUCAAUAGGAUUUAAGGUUUUUGAGGUUGUUAUAAUCGAAUUGAUGCAGCGAAACAAUUUAGGGAACAGCUAUAACGGAAAAUCUCCCAUCUUAUGUGGUUUGGGAGGAAGACAAUUGGAUGAAGUCUUUUACAGUGGCUAACUUUCUCUGCCAAUGGCAACUUAAGCGUAAUUGUUGUUUUAUGAAUUGUGUUACAUAAGCAUGGUACUUGCAGGUUAAUAUGGUUUCAAUUCAACAAGAUACUUAAGCCAAAACCGGAUAUUGUGUUACAUAGAUUGUUGAUUAUCAACUGCGACACCAACAUGCAGUUCAUUUGCUUGGAGGUUGUAAACAGGUUGUUAGAGAGAACCAUUAUAAUUUUUCGUACUUGGGUAAUAUUGUUUACCCCGUAGGUAGUCCAUUCCAUGAUACUUUUCUAUUCGCUUAAUUUUAAGUCUUUGUUAUACGAGACUUUCCAAUGUUUGAGUUGCAGACAUCCAAAGGACUAGGACAAGUUGAUGCUUGCAAAACAAAAGGUCUCCUAAGAUCCAGGUAUUAAACUUUUUUUUGGAAAAAAUUGGAUGUAUAAAUACCUACUAAAACGCCAAAAAAUUGUGUUCAUUCUUCCUCCUAAAGUCGAGUGAUGUUACAUAGCCAAGAACUUCAUAAUAGUUUUGGUCUUAAAAUCGAGUGAUGUGCCAUAGACAAGAACUUCAUAAUAGUUUUGGUUUAAGACAGCUGAUUAACCGCCAACUGAAAUUGAUUUAUAGAAGGUUUGUCGGCAGAGUUCUCAACAUGAUUUCUAAAGGUGGGUCUGCAAUACCUGAAUACUGGGUUCGCAAUAAAUGUAUCAUUAAUACUUUCCCUGCUUACAUUAUACCAGCAAUCACUUUAAUUACAUGCAUGAGAAAGAUCUUUUGCGAGCAGAUGGUAUGUGAAAUAAUUUAUGCAGGGGAAUUUAUGAAGCUAGAUUAUCAUUUCACUAUAGUCACCCGCUUAUAUUCCAAUAUAGCCACUCACUUACAUUUGAUUGUUGUUCUACUUCUCAAUAUACCAGCCAUGUACAUCCUACACUAUUAGAGAAGGAAAAUAUCUUAGAAAAGGGGAGAGGAAAAUCUGUGCCAGCUGCGAGGUCGUCAAUAACUGGUAAAAACCUAUGCUAAUAUGGCGUCCUUCAUAAAAAAAAUUCUCUCUUGAGAUUGUCAGUUGUGUACUCCGUAACAUGCCUUUGAACAUAGUCAUAGUCAUUCUAUUUGAGGUGGUGAUGCUGAAAUUAUUAGCUCGAUCUUGGUGUACAUCAAAUAUAACUGUAACCAAGUGCCUAAAUGGAUAAAUAUUUGGGGUCCGAUACUAUAAUAUUUGACUCCAGCUUGGUUUACAUGAAAGCUAAUUAACAAUAUCGAAGUGCCAAAGUGAAAUGAAUAUUGGUACACUUGCAUUCAUAAGAAUAUAGUUGGAUCUAUCAUAUAUCUUGAUUGAUCAAUGUAUCAUAUUGAGUUAUCUCCACUUCAUGGUAUAGAUUGAAACUAGCUUGAUCUUGGGUUUUCUGGCUAAUGAUCUUCUAAUCAGUUGAUCUUGAUCUCGACAAUUAAGGCUGUGAAAUACACAUAAUGAGUUCUGCAGGUUACUGUUGACACUAUUGCUGCAGAAGAGAUUUCUCGCAAUGUAUGUAUUCCCAUUUUUCUUAAUCUGGAUUCGGUUUUUUUGGUUCUAAAGUUCAGGGUUGGUAAUUUGAAAUUUGGAAUUUUGAACGCAACAUAUUACUUUGAAUGUUGACUUUGGAAUCUUCUCUUUUGGAUUUCAUGAUUUAAUUGAAAAGCCUGCAGUUAGUCACUUCUUUCCACCAAAUACUCCUUACCAAACAUUGUUCCAGGAUAUGUUAUUUAGAGCUGUUUGGUGUUUAAUGAAGUUUGUUAUCAUGUCCGCCCCACCAGGGAAACGUAUAUAGGGUGUUGAGUCUUUUAGCAUGAAAAAUCUUGAAUGUGUUGAACUAAUAAAAAUCUUGAAUGCGCUGUUUAUUGCAGUUUAGUUUGCAAAUUUCUAUUGAAUGUAGUUAGAAGCGUAGCGUGUAACAAAUCAGAAAUAUAGUGGUACACUCAACAAUUUAUAUAGGCUUAUGCCCAUGAUUACAUAAAUGUUUUUGCUGCAGGGAAAGCUUGGGUAUACCCAGUAACAUUUACUAACUCCUCCGGAUUCUUAAUAUUUUUCGUUCUUUUACUUCGCUGUAGUUUUUCUAAUUCCAUCUUCUAGAAAGCCAGACAAAGGCUACUCCAAUAUGUGGAGACAUUUUCAAUAACAACUUGAAUGUACUCAUAUACAUAUAGCAGCUUAAGUUGAGUUUGUUGUUGUCAUCUACCAGCAAAUUAGCAAAGGAAGACCAUGCUGCGUCUUUUCGUACCGUAACUAUGAAGGUCAAAUUCUUCAAACCUUAGCUUUUUUUUUUUUAUUUUGUUUUGAAUUUUUUCCCGAAGCUUUCAUAAUUUUGCAUUGACCGAGAGAGACGAAGACGAAAAAGAAUCCAAAAGCAACUAUACAGAUAUUUCGGAUGCUCGAGAUAACAACCGUUAAUCGCGCCACCUGCCAAACAACAAGUAGUUGGAUGGCUAUCGGUUAGAUUUUACCGGACAAACAAUCUGCAACCAAAAGAAGAACAUUGAAGGAAAGAAUUCAUGAAUUAUUAUGUGAAAGUUAGUAUAGACAGAGCUCCUUACCUUAGAUGAUAUGUUCAAAUUCAAUACGGGUCACCUUAGAUGAUAUGUUCAAAUAUGGGUCGUUCUUUUGGGAAUCAAGGCUACAAUAGUUCAGAACAAAGAUGAUCCCUGGAUGCGGUUGGAGAUUUCCAAAGGGAGUGAACUUUGUUCUUACAGAAUGUUCAUCUCAUCAUGUGAAAUGUUGAAAAUCAUGAGGGCAGAAGCUAGAAGUUCAGGUUAUUGUGCAUAUAAUGGAAAUAGUAAUCAAUAAGCUAAAGAAUCAUGCAACUUCUUGGGUUCUCA